rnacentral:tRNA from 1 species
GCCUCUGUAGCUCAGUCUGGUAGAGCGUAUCCAUGGUAAGGAUAAGGUCGAGGGUUCAAAUCCCUUCUGAGGCU